rnacentral:rRNA from 1 species
UACGUAGGGUCCGAGCGUUGUCCGGAAUUAUUGGGCGUAAAGAGCUCGUAGGCGGUUUGUCGCGUCUGCUGUGAAAUCCCGAGGCUCAACCUCGGGUCUGCAGUGGGUACGGGCAGACUGGAGUGCGGUAGGGGAGAAUGGAAUUCCUGGUGUAGCGGUGGAAUGCGCAGAUAUCAGGAGGAACACCGAUGGCGAAGGCAGCUCGCUGGGACGGUACUGACGCUGAGGCGCGAAAGCGUGGGGAGCGAACAGG